rnacentral:rRNA from 1 species
CCUACGGGAGGCAGCAGUGGGGAAUCUUGCGCAAUGGGCGAAAGCCUGACGCAGCAACGCCGCGUGCGGGAUGAAGGCCUUCGGGCUGUAAACCGCUUUCAGCAGGAACGAAAAUGACGGUACCUGCAGAAGAAGGAGCGGCCAACUACGUGCCAGCAGCCGCGGUAAUACGGAGGAUCCAAGCGUUAUCCGGAAUCAUUGGGUUUAAAGGGUCCGUAGGCGGUUUAAUAAGUCAGUGGUGAAAUCUGGUCGCUCAACGAUCAAACUGCCAUUGAUACUGUUAGACUUGAAUUACUGUGAAGUAACUAGAAUAUGUAGUGUAGCGGUGAAAUGCUUAGAUAUUACAUGGAAUACCAAUUGCGAAGGCAGGUUACUAACAGUUGAUUGACGCUGAUGGACGAAAGCGUGGGGAGCGAACAGGAUUAGAUACCCUGGUAGUCCACGCCGUAAACGAUGGAUACUAGUUGUUUGGAGCAAUCUGAGUGACUAAGCGAAAGUGAUAAGUAUCCCACCUGGGGAGUACGAACGCAAGUUUGAAACUCAAAGGAAUUGACGG